ACUAAGCGUACACGGUGGAUGCCCUGGCAGUCAGAGGCGAUGAAGGACGUGCUAAUCUGCGAUAAGCGUCGGUAAGGUGAUAUGAACCGUUAUAACCGGCGAUUUCCGAAUGGGGAAACCCAGUGUGUUUCGACACACUAUCAUUAACUGAAUCCAUAGGUUAAUGAGGCGAACCGGGGGAACUGAAACAUCUAAGUACCCCGAGGAAAAGAAAUCAACCGAGAUUCCCCCAGUAGCGGCGAGCGAACGGGGAGCAGCCCAGAGCCUGAAUCAGUGUGUGUGUUAGUGGAAGCGUCUGGAAAGGCGCGCGAUACAGGGUGACAGCCCCGUACACAAAAAUGCACAUGCUGUGAGCUCGAUGAGUAGGGCGGGACACGUGGUAUCCUGUCUGAAUAUGGGGGGACCAUCCUCCAAGGCUAAAUACUCCUGACUGACCGAUAGUGAACCAGUACCGUGAGGGAAAGGCGAAAAGAACCCCGGYGAGGGGAGUGAAAAAGAACCUGAAACCGUGUACGUACAAGCAGUGGGAGCACGCUUAGGCGUGUGACUGCGUACCUUUUGUAUAAUGGGUCAGCGACUUAUAUUCUGUAGCAAGGUUAACCGAAUAGGGGAGCCGAAGGGAAACCGAGUCUUAACUGGGCGUUAAGUUGCAGGGUAUAGACCCGAAACCCGGUGAUCUAGCCAUGGGCAGGUUGAAGGUUGGGUAACACUAACUGGAGGACCGAACCGACUAAUGUUGAAAAAUUAGCGGAUGACUUGUGGCUGGGGGUGAAAGGCCAAUCAAACCGGGAGAUAGCUGGUUCUCCCCGAAAGCUAUUUAGGUAGCGCCUCGUGAAUUCAUCUCCGGGGGUAGAGCACUGUUUCGGCAAGGGGGUCAUCCCGACUUACCAACCCGAUGCAAACUGCGAAUACCGGAGAAUGUUAUCACGGGAGACACACGGCGGGUGCUAACGUCCGUCGUGAAGAGGGAAACAACCCAGACCGCCAGCUAAGGUCCCAAAGUCAUGGUUAAGUGGGAAACGAUGUGGGAAGGCCCAGACAGCCAGGAUGUUGGCUUAGAAGCAGCCAUCAUUUAAAGAAAGCGUAAUAGCUCACUGGUCGAGUCGGCCUGCGCGGAAGAUGUAACGGGGCUAAACCAUGCACCGAAGCUGCGGCAGCGACGCUGAUGCGUUGUUGGGUAGGGGAGCGUUCUGUAAGCCUGUGAAGGUGUGCUGUGAGGCAUGCUGGAGGUAUCAGAAGUGCGAAUGCUGACAUAAGUAACGAUAAAGCGGGUGAAAAGCCCGCUCGCCGGAAGACCAAGGGUUCCUGUCCAACGUUAAUCGGGGCAGGGUGAGUCGACCCCUAAGGCGAGGCCGAAAGGCGUAGUCGAUGGGAAACAGGUUAAUAUUCCUGUACUUGGURUUACUGCGAAGGGGGGACGGAGAAGGCUAUGUUGGCCGGGCGACGGUUGUCCCGGUUUAAGCGUGUAGGCUGGUUUUCCAGGCAAAUCCGGAAAAUCAAGGCUGAGGCGUGAUGACGAGGCACUACGGUGCUGAAGCAACAAAUGCCCUGCUUCCAGGAAAAGCCUCUAAGCAUCAGGUAACAUCAAAUCGUACCCCAAACCGACACAGGUGGUCAGGUAGAGAAUACCAAGGCGCUUGAGAGAACUCGGGUGAAGGAACUAGGCAAAAUGGUGCCGUAACUUCGGGAGAAGGCACGCUGAUAUGUAGGUGAAGUCCCUCGCGGAUGGAGCUGAAAUCAGUCGAAGAUACCAGCUGGCUGCAACUGUUUAUUAAAAACACAGCACUGUGCAAACACGAAAGUGGACGUAUACGGUGUGACGCCUGCCCGGUGCCGGAAGGUUAAUUGAUGGGGUYAGCGCAAGCGAAGCUCUUGAUCGAAGCCCCGGUAAACGGCGGCCGUAACUAUAACGGUCCUAAGGUAGCGAAAUUCCUUGUCGGGUAAGUUCCGACCUGCACGAAUGGCGUAAUGAUGGCCAGGCUGUCUCCACCCGAGACUCAGUGAAAUUGAACUCGCUGUGAAGAUGCAGUGUACCCGCGGCAAGACGGAAAGACCCCGUGAACCUUUACUAUAGCUUGACACUGAACAUUGAGCCUUGAUGUGUAGGAUAGGUGGGAGGCUUWGAAGUGUGGACGCCAGUCUGCAUGGAGCCGACCUUGAAAUACCACCCUUUAAUGUUUGAUGUUCUAACGUUGACCCGUAAUCCGGGUUGCGGACAGUGUCUGGUGGGUAGUUUGACUGGGGCGGUCUCCUCCUAAAGAGUAACGGAGGAGCACGAAGGUUGGCUAAUCCUGGUCGGACAUCAGGAGGUUAGUGCAAUGGCAUAAGCCAGCUUGACUGCGAGCGUGACGGCGCGAGCAGGUGCGAAAGCAGGUCAUAGUGAUCCGGUGGUUCUGAAUGGAAGGGCCAUCGCUCAACGGAUAAAAGGUACUCCGGGGAUAACAGGCUGAUACCGCCCAAGAGUUCAUAUCGACGGCGGUGUUUGGCACCUCGAUGUCGGCUCAUCACAUCCUGGGGCUGAAGUAGGUCCCAAGGGUAUGGCUGUUCGCCAUUUAAAGUGGUACGCGAGCUGGGUUUAGAACGUCGUGAGACAGUUCGGUCCCUAUCUGCCGUGGGCGCUGGAGAACUGAGGGGGGCUGCUCCUAGUACGAGAGGACCGGAGUGGACGCAUCACUGGUGUUCGGGUUGUCAUGCCAAUGGCACUGCCCGGUAGCUAAAUGCGGAAGAGAUAAGUGCUGAAAGCAUCUAAGCACGAAACUUGCCCCGAGAUGAGUUCUCCCUGACCCUUUAAGGGUCCUGAAGGAACGUUGAAGACGACGACGUUGAUAGGCCGGGUGUGUAAGCGCAGCGAUGCGUUGAGCUAACCGGUACUAAUGAACCGUGAGGCUUAACC
rnacentral:rRNA from 1 species